GGGGAGAGUAUUACAGGGAGGGAGGGAGGGGAGAAUAUUACAGGGAGGGGGAGGUGAGGGUCUCUGGGGGGGUUACACAGCGCAGACACCAGCUGACAGACUGGCUCUAAGCCCUACCCUGAAAAUAAGCCCUAGUGUGUUUUUUGUGACUAAAAUUAAUAAAAGACCCGGUCUUAUUUUCGGAGAAACACGGUAACUAACUGCUAUUAUUCAUUAACUAAUCUUUAUUAAUAUGUCCGGCCACCAUUCGUUGUGGCACGGUGGUUUAAUGGGGUCGGUGGCAGGGAGUUGUAAUCCUGUCUGUUACAUGUGAUAUUAUACCGUGUAAUCACUACAGGGUACAAAAAAGUUUGGCAUGAAGUUCCAAAGUAUUGAUUUUGUGUAGUCUGGCUAGUGUAAAUAAACUCCGGAGUCUAUCACCAUCUACAGCGUCCCAAUAGUUUACAUCAAUAAUCAACCAUUGCAGAACAGUCAUUUACACAUUCUCCUGGAAUAUUGGGUCCUUAUCAGAUUCCAUGUGUGACUUAUAUGGCGACUAACGGUAUUUGUCUCCAAAAACAGGUCACUGGGCAAGACAGGCAGGUAGAUUAGAGUACUACAACCACUGCCAAUAUCUACGUGAUCUGAAGUGCGCCAUUCAUUACAGUGGACCCAGAUGUUCUCAAACUCAUCCAGUUAUUCUGCACAUGAAGUCCAUUUGGUGAAGAUUUGUCUCUUACGAUUGCCUUUGUUGAAGAUACCAUAAUGGACUGAUCAAUUGUUCCUUAAUCCAUGAUAAAAGAUAUAUCUCUUCACAAAUAAUUUGUAGGUUCAUUUGGCAUUUAGAAAUGUAAUCAACAUACCAAAACAUUUUAAUUAAUAUAACCAUUAUAUUGUAACUACCAGAGGGUUAGCCAUUCCAAUCUACAUCUAUAUAUAUUUGAAACAUAAUUGUCAAUCGUAUUCCAGGUUAGUUCAGCAGACUUACCUAAUAUUCCAGGCUAACAUUAAUAUCUGAAGGACUGCACCUCCAAUAAGUAAAAAAUAUAUUCACCAGUAAUACAUUUAUGGAGGUGCCUGUCAAAUGGAAGACAUCAUCCAAAUAAAAUCUUUGAUAAAAUAUAUACUGUAUUCAUAUGAUCAAUAUAAAUAUACAUUAGUUUUUUUUUCUGUGAAGCACCUGCUUUCAAGUAGAUCAGUUUUUGAAAGAUCUCAAUGGUGAUAAUAAAUACAUUCUGUAAUUAAUGUUUUGGUUUGGUUUUUGUAACUGGCGCUGUUACUUUUUACUUUAUAUUCUUUGGUUGUGCUGUAAAAUAUUGUAUCUCUUUUUUUUUUUUUGUAUAUCACAUCUUUAACAGCUUCAGCAUUUUUGGACGGGCUUGCUAGCCAAACUUGGAAUGUUGCUUCCGAGCGUAAAGAAAGACUUGUAAGAUGAUGGCCAAGUCGAUGCAGAUCUGUAAUGUCCCACACAUCCAGAACUGGGCAGGGGUAGCUUUAAGAACAAAAUAACCCGUCUUGAAACAGUCCCCCGCUGUCCAUAACAAGACCAUCUUCACACUAAGAAAAGAAAGGACACAAUUCAGUACAAUAUUCAGACGAUAUCCGAAGGUAGCAAGGUGACCUCACGGGGCUCCUGAACACUACUGAUGUGUAACAAAAAGCUGCACGAUUAAUGUUUGCGGUUCAUUAC
rnacentral:lncRNA from 1 species